AACGAACGCUGGCGGCAGGCUUAACACAUGCAAGUCGAACGCCCCGCAAGGGGAGUGGCAGACGGGUGAGUAACGCGUGGGAACAUACCCUUUUCUACGGAAUAGCUCUGGGAAACUGGAAUUAAUACCGUAUACGCCCUACGGGGGGAAGAUUUAUCGGGGAAGGAUUGGCCCGCGUUGGAUUAGCUAGUUGGUGGGGUAAAGGCCUACCAAGGCGACGAUCCAUAGCUGGUCUGAGAGGAUGAUCAGCCACAUUGGGACUGAGACACGGCCCAAACUCCUACGGGAGGCAGCAGUGGGGAAUAUUGGACAAUGGGGGAAACCCUGAUCCAGCCAUGCCGCGUGAGUGAUGAAGGCCUUCGGGUUGUAAAGCACUUUCGCCGAUGAAGAUAAUGACGGUAGUCGGAGAAGAAGCCCCGGCUAACUUCGUGCCAGCAGCCGCAGUAAUAC
rnacentral:rRNA from 1 species